AGUGUAUUUUCAUGCUUUCAGUGAGUGUUUUGUGUCUUUGGUUUCUUUGGAAAUUUGCAAGAAGAUAAAAAGAAAUCUCAGAAUGUAAAGUACACGCUGGGCUUUGGGAAGCCUGCAAUGAUAAAAAAAUUCUUUCUUUCCAGAGCCUGUGAGCAGCUCUGCAAUAUCCAGUAUGGCAUGUAAGAGGCAGCAACAGGUAAAAGGAUGCACAGUAAUUCUACACUGCUGAAUUAAUCCAGAGGACAAGUGUUUUGACUGGAUGGCAGUCAAAUCAAACUGGGUGCUAUUAAAAGGCUAACAUAUGGCUGGGAGUCAGAUCAUCUGGCUGCUUUAUGGGCUCUUAUCUUUCACUGUGCUGCACACAAGAAGAAAUACUUCUGGAUCUUGCUCUGGUAGAGCAAACAAUUAUAUAAGUGACAUUAGAGGCAGAAUAUCUGGGUCACCUGGAGAGAAUACCUUUUGAUGAAUAAAGAUGUGCAUGCUAGGAAGUGGAGAAGAAAGAAACCUAGACAUAAGCUGUCUAGGGAACGGGAUGUGAGAUUUACAGGAGAAGUGGCCCUGGUGGCAAAAGAAGCUUGGAGAGAGGUCUGCAAGGUGUGGGUUCUGGACAUAGCCUCCAGUGAGACAACCAAAUAGCUGCAGACUGAAAGACUAGGAAUGUGUCACAGCUGAGGUACUAGAACAAAGACCAAGGAGAGCAAAAGAUGUCCAUGAAGAUGGAAAUCAGCUUGUGAGGCAAAUGGCUAAUUCCCAAAGCCAAGUGGAAGGAGUUUCUGUAGAGGGGAAAUUGAGAAAGCAGCAACAGGGUGUUUAUUACCUCCCCAGCGAAGCAGUGCAGGCAGAGCACAGCCUCUUAAAGGAUUUGAGAUCCUUCCCUUGAUCUGGACAUGGCUGCCUGCCUCUCCCUGGGAACAGCCACUGUGUGGAGCAUCACUCAUCCUCUUUCUUACAGGACUGCUCUUUGUCCCUGGUAUUCAAAAGCUGUGCUGCUGAACCUGGCCUUGAGCAAUGUGAAAGUGUGCCACGUGGCUGUGAAAGCAGCCAGCUACCUGGCCGAAGAAGCACAGCCCGUGUACACAAAAGUGGAAUUCAGCUAAUUUCACCUCCAGAAGCUACUUUCUAUGUUGAAACAACAUAAUUCAGGGGGCAAGCAGAGUUCCUCUAGGUGCUGGUAAGCUGCCCUCACCCUGCUGGGGUGACUUCCCAGUGCUCCAGCAGCACCUGUAUAGCAUCCACGUAGGGAAAGCUACACCUAAUCUUGGAGGCCAGAGUUACACUGGGAUAACCCCAAGCACUCUCAGGGCCAUAUCAGUCCUUUUCCUCUUCUGGAGGCACUGGACAUUUUAGCAUUCAUGUAAAUAAAGUAUGUGUGAAACAAAUGUUGUAUCUUUCCACACAGACACACAUGCAUGACACAAAUGCUCUGAGGCUAUCGGGUCAUUUAUAAUGCUCUUUGGUUUUUAUUACCAAGUAGACACAGUAUUUUUCAUGUACACAACUUGCAUAUUCGCUAUUAUUUUCAGCUGUUUUAAAGUAAUAAAUAUUCUCAUGCACCUGGACAUAGUGGUGCUGCAAUUCUUACACAUUUGCCUCU